rnacentral:rRNA from 1 species
CCUACGGGGAGCAGCAGUAGGGAAUCUUUCACAAUGGGCGAAAGCCUGAUGGAGCAACGCCGCGUGCAGGAUGAAGGCCUUCGGGUUGUAAACUGCUUUUAUAAGCGAGAAAUAUGAUGGUAACUUAUGAAUAAGGAUCGGCUAACUACGUACCAGCAGCCACGGUCAUACGUAGGAUCCGAGCAUUAUCCGGAGUGACUGGGUGUAAAGAGUUGCGUAGGUGGCAUAAUAAGUAGCUAGUGAAAUCUGGUGGCUCAACCAUUCAGACUAUUAGCUAAACUGUUAAGCUCGAGACCGUUAGGGGUAACUGGAAUUUCUAGUGUAGGAGUGAAAUCCGUAGAUAUUAGAAGGAACACCAAUAGCGUAGGCAGGUUGCUGGGACGGUUCUGACACUAAGGCACGAAAGCGUAGGGAGCAAACGGGAUUAGAUACCCCAGUAGUC